AUGUGUCUAAUUUUCAAAAUGUAUAUGUUUGCAGUCACAAAUGAUAAAGUUUCCCCUGGCAAACUUUCAUGCGAACUGGUGCCAGUGAAAGAGGAGCCACAUGAGAGCAAUGGGACUACAUUAAACAAAGAUAAGCAUCAAGACAAAAUAUCAUCAUCAUCACGUGAGCUCCGCAGUGGCAAUAAAAGGAGACUAAGAUCUGUUGUAAUAUCAGAUGGGUCGGAGGAUGUAUGCAGUCAGACGAAUAUGCCUGAACAAAAGGAAAAAAGUGUCCGCGGUAACAAGAAACAUGUUAAAGCAAAAGCCAAAAUUCAAUGCUUGAAGAUGAAGAUGAAGUACGGAAAGCAAAGCCCAGGAGAAAAAGGAUGUUAUCUAGAUAAUUAG
rnacentral:rRNA from 1 species